GUAUCCAGUCAUACCAUCCUGAAUGUGCCUGAUCUCGUCUGAUCUUAGAAGCUAAGCAGGGUCAGGCCUGGUUAGUACUUGGAUGGGAGACUACCUGGGAAUACUAGGUGCUGUAGGCU
rnacentral:rRNA from 1 species